UCAACUUACUGCAGGUGAGAUCAGUGCUACUCAAAAGGGUGGUCCGCGGACUGGUGCCGGUCCACGAGCCAUCGGCUGCCAGUCUGCGCACACAUUGGAAAAAAAAUUGCCGGUCUCCCACAUCAGAUAGCUUGAGAAGCACUGGUCUAGAUAAUACUUAGUCCUGCCAUGAGUGCAAGGGA